GAUGAACGCUGGCGGCGUGCCUAAUACAUGCAAGUCGAGCGAACGGACGAGAAGCUUGCUUCUCUGAUGUUAGCGGCGGACGGGUGAGUAACACGUGGAUAACCUACCUAUAAGACUGGGAUAACUUCGGGAAACCGGAGCUAAUACCGGAUAAUAUUUUGAACCGCAUGGUUCAAAAGUGAAAGACGGUCUUGCUGUCACUUAUAGAUGGAUCCGUGCUGCAUUAGCUAGUUGGUAAGGUAACGGCUUACCAAGGCAACGAUGCAUAGCCGACCUGAGAGGGUGAUCGGCCACACUGGAACUGAGCCACGGUCCAGACUCCUACGGGAGGCAGCAGUAGGGAAUCUUCCGCAAUGGGCGAAAGCCUGACGGAGCAACGCCGCGUGAGUGAUGGAGGUCUUCGGAUCGUAAAACUCUGUUAUUAGGGAAGAACAUAUGUGUAAGUAACUGUGCACAUCUUGACGGUACCUAAUCAGAAAGCCACGGCUAACUACGUG
rnacentral:rRNA from 1 species